rnacentral:rRNA from 1 species
CAAUAGCGUAUAUUAAAGUUGUUGCAGUUAGAACGCUAGUAGUCGGAUUUCGGGGCGGGCCGACCGGUCUGCCGAUGGGUAUGCACUGGUCGGCGCGUCCUUCCUUCCGGAGACCGUCCCUACUCUUAACUGAGCGGGGGCGGGAGACGGGACUUUUACUUUGAAAAAAUCAGAGUGUUUCAAGCAGGCAGCUCGCUCUUGCAUGGAUUAGCAUGGGAUAAUGAAAUAGGACUUUGGUGCUAUUUUGUUGGUUUCGAACACCGAAGUAAUGAUGAGAAGGGACAGUCAGGGGCACUCGUAUUCCGCCGAGAGAGGUGAAAUUCUCAGACCAGCGGAAGACGAACCACUGCGAAAGCAUUUGCCAGGGAUGUUUUCACUGA